rnacentral:rRNA from 1 species
UACGAGGGGGGCAAGCGUUGUUCGGAAUUAUUGGGCGUAAAGGGCGCGUAGGCGGUGCGGUAAGUCUGAUGUGAAAUCUCCGGGCUCAACUCGGAGUCUGCAUCAGAAACUGCCGUGCUCGAGUGUGGGAGAGGUGAGUGGAAUUCCCGGUGUAGAGGUGAAAUGCGUAGAUAUCGGGAGGAACACCGGUGGCGAAGGCGGCCCACUGGACGAAAACUGACGCUGAGGCGCGAAAGCGAGGGGAGCAAACAGG